GCUAUGUAUGAUGAGGGUUACAUUGUCUUAAAUAGUGAUACUAAAUCUCAACUGAAUUAUUAUAAUCAGGUCGCUUCAAACAUUGAUUUGGUUUUUGCCAACAAUGAUUUAGCAGGUUUACUGGAUUACAAUCAGCUUUCAGACACGUGGGAUUGGAUCAUUAUCCUAUAGAAAUUUUAUUUGAUAUAGAGGUGGAACCUUACAGAAAAUUAACCAAUAGAGUUACAAAUAGGAAUACGGAUUGAUCUUGUUACUAUAACGAAGUGGAAAAGAACAUUAAAUCAUUAAGAGAGAUUGUAUUCGAAAGGCAGCUCGGAUUGCAACUGGCAAGGAUAACAACAGCGAUGUACAAACAUCUGGAUGUCGUAAAAUAUCUCGUCAUAAAAUGAGGCAGCCAGUACGAUGGUGGGAUGCAUAGUGUGCAGCGGUUGUACAAGACAGAAAAGCAAAA